AUGGCGAGCGUGGCGGCGUCGAAGAAGGCGGCGAACCGGCUGGUGGUGGAGGAGGCCACCACCAACGACGACAACUCCGUGUGCAUCCUCCACCCCGCCACCAUGGAGAAGCUCUCCAUAUUCAAAGGCGACAUCGUGCUGCUCAAGGGCAAGCGCCGCCACAACACGGUCUGCAUGGCACUGCCCGACGACACCUGCGAGGGGCACAAGCUCAGGAUCAACAAGGUGGCCCACUCCAACCUGCGCGUGCGCAUCGCCGACGUCGUGUCGGUGCACCUGUGCCACGACGCCAAGUUCGGCAGACGCGUGCACAUCCUCCCCUUGGACGACACCGUCGAGGGCAUCGCGGGGAACCUCUUCGACGCCUAUCUCAAGCCCUACUUCGUGGACGCCUACCGCCCGGUCCACAAGGGUGACCUCUUCCUCGUGCGUGGCGGCAUGCGGAGCGUCGAGUUCAAGGUCAUGAAGAUCGACCCCGCGGUGGACUACUGCGUCGUGGCACCCGAUACGGAGAUAUUCUGCGAGGGCGAGCUGGUCAAGCGGGAGGACGAGGAGAGGCUCGACGGCGUCGGCUACGACGACGUGGGUGGCAUGGGGAAACCGCUCACUCUGAUCAGGGAGCUCGUCGAGCUGCCGCUCAGGCAUCCGCAGAUCUUCAAGAGCAUUGGCGUCAAGCCUCCCAAGGGCAUCCUCCUCUAUGGCCCUUCCGGGUCGGGCAAGACGCUGAUCGCCCGCGCGGUCGCCAACGAGACCGGGGCCUUCUUCUUCCUCAUCAACGGCCCGGAGAUAAUGUCCAAGAUGGCCGGAGAGAGCGAGAGCAACCUGAGGAAGGCCUUCGAAGAAGCCGAGAAGAACGCGCCCUCCAUCAUAUUCAUCGAUGAGAUCGACUCCAUUGCUCCAAACAGGGAGAAGACUCACGGUGAGGUCGAGAGGUGCAUCGUCUCCCAGCUGCUGACGCUGAUGGAUGGCAUGAAGGCCCGCGCGCAUGUCAUCGUCAUGGGCGCCACGAAUCGCCCCAAUAGCAUCGACCCUGCCUUGAGGCGCUUCGGGAGGUUCGAUCGCGAGAUCGACAUCGGCGUGCCGGACGAGGUCGGGCGUCUCGAAGUGCUUCGCAUCCACACCAAAAACAUGAAGCUGGACGAGGACGUCAACCUGGAGGUGGUUGCCAAGGAUACGCACGGCUACGUCGGCGCCGACUUGGCCGCGCUCUGCACCGAGGCGGCGCUGCAGUGCAUCAGGGAGAAGAUGGACGUGAUCGACUUAGAGGAUGACACCAUCGACGCCGAGAUCUUGAACUCCAUGGCCGUCAUCAAUGACCACCUUAAGACGGCUCUCACCGGCACAAACCCGUCCGCGCUACGUGAGACCGUCGUGGAGGUGCCCAACGUCAGCUGGAACGAUAUUGGCGGCCUCGACGGCGUCAAGAGGGAGCUGCAAGAGACCGUUCAGUACCCGGUCGAGCACCCGAAGAAAUUCGAGAAGUUCGGUAUGUCGCCGUCCAAGGGCGUCCUCUUCUACGGGCCACCAGGAUGCGGCAAGACCUUGCUGGCGAAGGCGAUCGCCAACGAGUGCCAGGCCAACUUCAUCAGCAUCAAGGGGCCAGAGCUGCUCACCAUGUGGUUCGGUGAGAGCGAGGCCAAUGUGCGCGAGAUCUUUGACAAGGCGCGCCAGUCUGCGCCGUGUGUGCUGUUCUUUGACGAGCUCGACUCCAUCGCAACCCAAAGAGGCGGCAGAGUGGGCGACGCCGGUGGCGCGGCGGACAGGGUCCUGAACCAGCUACUCACCGAGAUGGACAGCAUGAACGCCAAGAAGACGGUCUUCAUCAUCGGCGCCACCAAUAGGCCGGACAUUAUUGACUCGGCAUUACUCCGUCCUGGCCGCCUGGACCAGCUCAUCUACAUCCCCUUGCCGGACGAGGCCUCGCGGCACCAGAUCUUCAAGGCCUGCCUCAGGAAGUCUCCCGUGGCCAAGGACGUCGACCUCGGUGCUCUCGCAAGGUUCACCGCUGGCUUUAGCGGUGCCGACAUCACGGAGAUCUGCCAGAGGGCGUGCAAGUACGCCAUCAGAGAAGACAUUGAAAAGGACAUGGAGAGGCAGAGGAUGGGCAAAGACACCAUGGAGGUGGACGGCGGGCAGGAAGAGGAGGAGGUGGCUGAGAUAAAGGCGCCUCACUUCGAGCAGUCGAUGAAGUACGCGAGGAGGAGCGUGAGCGACACCGACAUCAGGAAGUACCAGGCCUUCGCGCAGACGCUGCAGCAGUCUAGGGGGUUCGGUACGGAGUUCCACUUCCCGGCGCAGCCACAGGCAGCAGAAGCUGCUGCCGACACUACCGCGGCAUCUGAUGAGGAUGAAGACGAUCUGUACAAGUGA
rnacentral:rRNA from 1 species